GACAGAGGGAGCUAGCGUUGUUCGGAAUCACUGGGCGUAAAGGGCGCGUAGGCGGUCUUGUAAGUUAGGAGUGAAAGCCUGGGGCUCAACCUCAGAAUUGCUCUUAAUACUGCUUGACUUGAGUCCAUGAGAGGUUAGCGGAAUUCCCAGUGUAGCAGUGAAAUGCGUAGAUAUUGGGAGGAACACCAGUUGCGAAGGCGGCUAACUGGCAUGGUACUGACGCUGAGGCGCGAAAGCGUGGGGAUCAAACAGG
rnacentral:rRNA from 1 species